AAGGGUGGAAAGAGAUUCGCCUGAUCUUAUGUCAGGAGGAAAGUCCGAACUUCGUAGGGUAUGACAGCAGUUAAUGGCUGCUGGAGAGAAAUCUCCUGGAAAGUGCCACAGAAAAUAGACAACCAGAAUGACGCUGGUUAAGGUGAAAAUGUGAGGCAAGAGCUCACACUCCAGUAUUUAACUGGUUAUAGGCAAACCCUGUCAGAAGCAAGUUUGCAUGUUUACGAUCCUUACCCGGGGAAAACAUGUGAGGACGCUAUAUUUAAGAAGUGAUUCUUAAAAUAGAGAAAUGAAUCUUUAAACAGAAUUCGGCUUAUUUCCACCCUUUUUU
rnacentral:RNase_P_RNA from 1 species